rnacentral:rRNA from 1 species
GAUGAACGCUGGCGGCGUGCCUAAUACAUGCAAGUCGAGCGAACGGACGAGAAGCUUGCUUCUCUGAUGUUAGCGGCGGACGGGUGAGUAACACGUGGAUAACCUACCUAUAAGACUGGGAUAACUUCGGGAAACCGGAGCUGAUACCGGAUAAUAUUUUGAACCGCAUGGUUCAAAAGUGAAAGACGGUCUUGCUGUCACUUAUAGAUGGAUCCGCGCUGCAUUAGCUAGUUGGUAAGGUAACGGCUUACCAAGGCAACGAUGCAUAGCCGACCUGAGAGGGUGAUCGGCCACACUGGAACUGAGACACGGUCCAGACUCCUACGGGAGGCAGCAGUAGGGAAUCUUCCGCAAUGGGCGAAAGCCUGCCGGAGCAACGCCGCGUGAGUGAUGAAGGUCUUCGGAUCGUAAAACUCUGUUAUUAGGGAAGAACAUUUGUGUAAGUAACUGUGCACAUCUUGACGGUACCUAAUCAGAAAGCCACGGCUAACUACGUG